rnacentral:lncRNA from 13 species
GCGACCGUCUGUGUGGCCAGGCGCUAAAAUUGAAAUUGGUUCUAUUUGUGAUGCUCAAAGCACUGCAAGUCCGGCAUCCCAUCUCCUCAUUGGUUUUUAGGAGCAUAUGUGUGAUUGAAAGAUGAACUUAGGUCCACUCUCCGAUCGGUUGUAGUAAUGCUGUCAUGUCACGUCCUGACCUUAGUUCCUUUUUUAUGUCUCUAUUUUAGUUUGGUCAGGGCGUGAGUUGGCGUGGGCAUUCUAUGUUUUGUUCUGUGUGUUAGAUUUCUAUGUCUUUGGCCUGGUAUGGCUCCCAAUCAGAGGCAGCUGUCAAUCGUUGUCUCUGAUUGAGAACCAUACUUAGGCAGCCUGUUUUCCCACUAUGGGUUGUGGGUAGUUGUUUUCUGUCUUUGUAUUAGUUACCAGACCGAACUGUUUUGGGUGUUCUGUUUGCUUACGUUGUAUUUUAGUGUUCAGGGCAUUUUAAAUAAACGACGAACACUUACCAUGCUGCAUAUUGGUCCGAUCCUUCCUCCUCCUCAGACGAAGAGGACUGCCAUUACACUUCAAUUUAAGGGCAGGGAACACAGACGUUUCCUGCGGUUAUGCCUGCUGCUGUUGUCCCUAUGGUGCCAGGGCAAACAUCAGGGUGUUUCCUGUCUGCAGUGUAGAGGAUGGACCAUCCCUGGAAUGCUGACAAGGAGGAAAGGUCACACUGGAACCACUGGAGAGAAAAGCCCUUUUAAUUAAAAAUGCCUCAAUUAAACAACCUUUCUCUCUCUGACUCUCUCUCUUUUUCUACAUCCCUCCACCAGUCAAUGAAUCACUCUCUCCUGAUUGUGGAUCCAAAACUUUCCAAGGAGGGACAGAAUUGUCAUUGUAUAUCUUUAGAGCUCCACUCUCACCUUGAGGGCACUACAGAACAC